rnacentral:lncRNA from 1 species
CUCCUUGAGUUAUCUUGGGUACAGCUAGUGCCUCGACCCAUUUGGUGAAGUAAUCGACAACCACAAAUAUGAAUUUAGCCUGACCUGUCGAUACUGGAAAUGGUCCCACAAUGUCUAACCCCCACAUUGCAAAGGGGAUGGGGCUUUCUACCCCUGUUAGCUGAGUUGCGGGAUUUCUCUGUAUGUUUUUGUGUAUUUGGCAGGCCUUGCAUUUUCUUGCGAAUAGGACUGCA